rnacentral:rRNA from 1 species
GUACUUUCAGCAGUGAGGAAGUGGGUAUGUUAUAGCAUAUUCAUUUGACGUUAGCUGCAGAAGAAGCACCGGCUAACUCCGUGCCAGCAGCCGCGGUAAUACGGAGGGUGCGAGCGUUAAUCGGAAUUACUGGGCGUAAAGCGCAUGCAGGUGGUUUGUUAAGUCAGAUGUGAAAGCCCGGGGCUCAACCUCGGAAUUGCAUUUGAAACUGGCAAACUAGAGUACUGUAGAGGGGGUAGAAUUUCAGGUGUAGCGGUGAAAUGCGUAGAGAUCUGAAGGAAUACCGGUGGCGAAGGCGGCCCCCUGGACAGAUACUGACACUCAGAUGCGAAAGCGUGGGGAGCAAACAGGAUUAGAUACCCUGGUAG